GGACGAACGCUGGCGGUGUGCUUAACACAUGCAAGUCGAACGGAAAGGCCCUGCUUUUGUGGGGUGCUCGAGUGGCGAACGGGUGAGUAACACGUGAGUAACCUGCCCUUGACUUUGGGAUAACUUCAGGAAACUGGGGCUAAUACCGGAUAGGAGCUCCUGCUGCAUGGUGGGGGUUGGAAAGUUUCGGCGGUUGGGGAUGGACUCGCGGCUUAUCAGCUUGUUGGUGGGGUAGUGGCUUACCAAGGCUUUGACGGGUAGCCGGCCUGAGAGGGUGACCGGCCACAUUGGGACUGAGAUACGGCCCAGACUCCUACGGGAGGCAGCAGUGGGGAAUAUUGCACAAUGGGCGGAAGCCUGAUGCAGCAACGCCGCGUGCGGGAUGACGGCCUUCGGGUUGUAAACCGCUUUCGCCUGUGACGAAGCGUGAGUGACGGUAAUGGGUAAAGAAGCACCGGCUAACUACGUG
rnacentral:rRNA from 1 species